AGUGAACGCUGGCGGUAGGCCUAACACAUGCAAGUCGAACGGCAGCACAGUAAGAGCUUGCUCUUACGGGUGGCGAGUGGCGGACGGGUGAGGAGUACAUCGGAAUCUACUUUUUCGUGGGGGAUAACGUAGGGAAACUUACGCUAAUACCGCAUACGACCUACGGGUGAAAACAGGGGAUCUUCGGACCUUGCGCGAUUGAAUGAGCCGAUGUCGGAUUAGCUAGUUGGCGGGGUAAAGGCCCACCAAGGCGACGAUCCGUAGCUGGUCUGAGAGGAUGAUCAGCCACACUGGAACUGAGACACGGUCCAGACUCCUACGGGAGGCAGCAGUGGGGAAUAUUGGACAAUGGGCGCAAGCCUGAUCCAGCCAUACCGCGUGGGUGAAGAAGGCCUUCGGGUUGUAAAGCCCUUUUGUUGGGAAAGAAAAGCAGCAGGUUAAUACCCCGCUGUUCUGACGGUACCCAAAGAAUAAGCACCGGCUAACUUCGUG
rnacentral:rRNA from 1 species